rnacentral:rRNA from 1 species
CCCAUAGUAGGGUACAGCCCGGCGAAAGUCGGAUUAAUGCCCUAUGUUCUUCGCAGAUGGCAUCUGAUGUGAAGCAAAGGUUUUCCGCUAUGGGAUGGGGAUGCGUCUGAUUAGCUUGCCGGCGGGGUAACGGCCCACCGGGGCGACGAUCAGUAGGGGUUCUGAGAGGAAGGUCCCCCACACUGGUACUGAGACACGGACCAGACUCCUACGGGAGGCAGCAGUGAGGAAUAUUGGUCAAUGGGCGAGAGCCUGAACCAGCCAAGUAGCGUGCAAGGAUGACCGGCCCGUACGGGGUUAGUAAACUGUCUUUUAUGGCGGGGAUAAAGUUCGCCAUGCGUGGUGUUUUGCAUGUACCGCAUGAAUAAGGACCGGCUAAUUCCGUGCCAGCCGCUGC